UACGUAGGCAGCAAGCGUUGUUCGGAGUUACUGGGCGUAAAGAGUGCGUAGGCGGUGUCGAAAGUUUGGCGUGAAAUCUCCCGCUUAACUGGGAGGGUGCGCCGAAAACUGCGAUGCUGGAGUGUGGGAAAGGCAAGCGGAAUUCCUGGUGUAGCGGUGAAAUGCGUAGAUAUCAGGAGGAACACCGGCGGUGUAGACGGCUUGCUAGACCAUAACUGACCGCUGAGGCACGAAAGCGUGGGGAGCAAACAGGA
rnacentral:rRNA from 1 species